AGGAACAGCAGCCCAGGGACCUGAGACCAGCGUUCUCAAAUGAAGCCAGAUCUGCUGUUAGAGGAGAAUUCUUCUGUCCUAGCUGUGUCUCUGUGAUCUGUGGAUGAGGGUGGGAAAGCACCACUCAGUCAAUUGGGGUGUACAAAAUGGAGUUUGAGAAGGUCUCACAUCCAGGUUGUUUUGAAGCAAAGUCCAAGCAUUGUAUCACUUCAUCUGCAAAUAUUUCAAUAAGUACCCAAAAGUGGUUGGACUGAGUCCCAUGAAGCCAGAUCACUUCUGACUGCAAGGAGCUUGGAAAAGCAAGUAUCUGGAUCUUUUACCAGCUAAAUUUGGAGAAUUAUUGAUCAAAUUUGGAUCUCUGUGUGCUGUCCUCCAAUUUAAUACUUUCUGUGUUGCUGUUUUAUUUUCUUUCUUCUGGAACCUGGCAAAGUGCGUCAAGCGAUGAGGCUUCCUCUUUGAAGAUCACAGGUGAGAAGAUUAGGUGCUUUCUCAGAAGCCCAGCAACCUGAUGGGAGUGUGGAGUGAGCAAGACCCAAAUCGGAGCUUCAUCCCUGCAUGGUUCAUUUUGCUUAUUUGGCAAACUUGCCCUGCAGGCAUCCAAUGGCAUUACACCUCAGCCAGAGAAGAAGCUCUUAAGAGAUCAGGUGCCUCAUUUCACCCAUGGGCUGCUCCAGCAUUUCCAGCCUCCUCACUCCUGACACAUACAGAUUGAGAAAUUAAGGUCGCAUCAUAUAAGUGAAGUUGAACACUACUUUUCUAAUACCCUACAUCAGGUACGUUCCUAAAUAAACUGGAACUUACCUCAGAAGCCUCAGAAAAUUAGGAAAAUAAAAUGCAUUACUUUGUAUAUUAAGAAGCUCAAAAUCCCAUAUUUGAUUCACUAUAGAAUUACUUCAGAAUCUCAUAUGUUGUUUAAGCAAAACCUGUCUCAUAUUAAAACAUACCUACUGCUGUGUUGUCUAUUUGCUUUUCUCUUUUUAAAUGCCCUUUUGAGAAAUGCUGCAAAAAUUUUGUCCUGACAUGUGGGGGCCCAACUGUUUCCUGCUAUACUCAGCUUGGAGGACAUAGCCUCUAGGUUAUACUCUUUUGAAAUUGUCCUGUUGAAAUGCAUGUUUUGAUUUUGGGAUUUUCCAGAUGCUUCCUAAGUAGGUCCCAUGUGUUAAAACUUGUGGAAAUUCAGCAUGUUUCUCAAUGUGAGGCAUCUAAGUAGUUCACAAAUUUAAGGCAAUUAGUCUAUUACUGGGAUAAGACGAUUAAUUCUAUUAUAUUCCAUUGUUUACAUAUUACUUGUUUAAUCCAUUUCCUAUUCUAUGCUUUGUUUUUUCAUUUGUCUGAAUUAUUAAAAGUCACUACAUUUUAACAUUUUAAGCAAUUUAAUUUUUAUAUAUAAUUAUAUCCUUUGGCUAUUUAAACUGAAGACACAUUGUAUAUGUAAAUCAAAUUAAGAAAAAUAAAUGGAGAGUGUGUUCACUUACAA
ensembl:lncRNA LINC01091 long intergenic non-protein coding RNA 1091